AAGAAGGAGUGUUGAUAGUUUUAAUUCUAAAAAGAUAAAAACGAAAAUCAAAAUGGAUACUAAAAGGACUUUUUAGGUUUGGAGUUUGGUUUUAAUUUAGUUUUUAAGUCUUUAAACAAUUUUGUUAUAUUUUAUAAAUGGUAUUAAAAUUGUAGCCAUACAAUGAGAGGUUUGAAGUAAGAGUUAGAGGUGUGGGUGUAUAUGUAUGAUAUCUAAGAACUAAGAAGAAAGAAAAGGGUGUGAUUGUGAGAGCAAGGGAAGUAGGGUAGUCCAUGAAACAGAGGAUAAUGGAAAAGAAAAAGGAGGCAAUUUCUGAGGUGUUAUCUGCCAUUUGAAGCUCAGUCCCCUUUUUCCCAAAGGGGACAAUUUGAUUGUACAAUUAUUGCUUUCUUCUCCUUCACCAUUUCUCCCACAUUUUCCUUCUCCACACUUUCUCAUUUCUUUCAAAAUUUAUUUUUAAUUUUCAUAUCCUUACACGAUUUCAAUCUUUUUCAAAACAUAGUUUUGAAACGAUUUUAAAGGGUGCUUUUGAUUCUUAAAAUUCAUGGAUCUAAUAGUACAAUUUAAUUUUAUAUUUACUAAAUUCUUUUGGGUUUAAAUUUUUAAUUUUUUUUUGAAUUUAUUAAAUAAAGUUGAAAAUGCAAAAACUUGUUUAAGACACACUCUCAAAAGCUUACUAAUCAAAUAGAUGUAACCAUCAAAGUUCAGUGAAAAAUCUAAUUAAAAUUGGUGGUUGACAAUGUGUAUCAAUUUGCAUUCGUCCCAUUUAAAAACAUUCUAACUAUGAUAUAUAAUAACUCAUUUAGAUGAGUGGUAUAGUGCUUUUGUAAUCAAGAUCAAAAAAGAGAAAUUUUCUAAUGUGAUUAAACCUCUUGUUUUUUCAAGGCCAUAGUGAAUUUUGUUCGAAUUUUGAAAUUUUACUCACCAUGAAGCAAUUUUAUAAAAUUGUCUUGAUUUCUUCUCGUUCAUGUGCGACCAACUUUAAGACUAUGCACCAACUCGGCAGUUGCACACGAGCAACUCCAAAUUGUAAAUAUUGAUCUAAAUAUCAAUAUUUGGAAUAUGAAAUUUUGGUAUAUUUGUAAUUGUUUUAAAGUAUUGCUACGUAGUAAUAUAAUUAAAAAUUAAAAUUGAGAAGCAAUCACGUGUUUACUUAGAGGGAGAGAGAGAGAGAAAAAGGCGAAACCAGAGGGUUUUAGGUUUCUUCUUCGCUCAUAGUAAUUGCCCAACGACUUCCAUUCAAUCCUUUUCCACACUCUAAACUUUCCAUCGCCAAACCUAAACAGAGAUUCCCAAUUUCGGAACUGAAAGAAAGAAGGGAUGUACCACGUUCUUCCACCGCAAGAACAGCAUUUCUCUUACAUUACGUACGAUGUCCAAAGACGCCAAUCAAGAUAAAGGCUGUGUCUCUUCGCUCUUUUAUUCGCUGUGUGUUGCUGUUUUUGCUGAUUCGAAUUAAACUUGCGUGUGUUGCUUGAAGUGUGUUUGUUGUUGCUGCGAUUGAGUUAUAUAGUGUAUUCCAUCUUCGAUUCAAUAAUCAUCUAAAUUUCUAUCUUUCGGUGUUUUGUUAGAAAAUUUAUAUAAAAAAAAAAGAGAAAGAGGAGAAUUAGGCUUUGGAGAGAUAUUGGAUGUAAUUUGUUCUGAGUUCUUGUUUUUUUUUCUUCUUCAAUUUCUUUGAUUUAAUAAAAAAGAGUCUGGGUUGUAUAUUUGUAUUCUUA